AUUAGGUACAAGAGGGGGAUAAGAACUUAUCCCCCCUUUUGUACCCAAACAAUAAUUUGGGUGGGUGGGAACAAGCUUGGUCCCACCUUUGUUAGAGAGAGAGAGAGAGAGAGAGAGAGAGAGAUAUACACAUGUAUAUACAUACAUGUAUAUACAUGUAUAACAGUGCACAAGAGGAUAAAUAGUGCAACAAGAGAAAAAACAGUGCAAUAAGAGGAGAAACAAUAUAAAUAUCUCUUAAAGGGGUGCAGUUUAAGAUAAAAAAUAGUGUAACAUGAGGAGAAAUGAUGCAACAUGAGGAGAAAUGAUGCAACAAGAGAAGAAACAGUGCAACAAGAGGAGAAACAGUAUAAAUAUCUCUUAAAGGGGUGCAGUUUAAGAUAAAAACUGUGUAACAAGAGAAAAAAUGGUGCAACAAGAGGAGAAACAGUGCAACUUGCGUUUAAAUAGUGUAAUUUUUAUCUUAAUGGAUCCAGUUUACAUCUGAAAGAGUGCAAUAAGAAAAGAAACAGUGUAAAUAUUUCUCAAAGAGUGUAAUUUUCGUUUAAAGAGUGUAAUUUUAAUCUUAAAGCUGCAGUUUACAUCUUAAGUAGUGCAACUUAUAAUUUUUUUUUGCAGUUAACGAUGCAAUUUCAUCUUCAUACUUCUUUUUAUAUAAUUUUUUAUCUUUAUUUUUUUUCUGUUUUUUCUAUAAUUUUUUUUUAUCACCCUCUCUGCCAACAGUCACAGCGCCGGUGA
rnacentral:lncRNA from 1 species